UCCUACGGGGCGCAGCAGUGGGGAAUAUUGCCCAAUGGGCGAAAGCCUGAUGCAGCAACGUCGCGUGAGGGAUUAAGGCCCUGCGGGUCGUAAACCUCUUUUGCCGGGGAGCAGUGGUCCGGACGCGUCCGGACCGGGAGAGUACCCGGAGAAAAAGCAUCGGCUAACUCCGUGCCAGCAGCCGCGGUAAUACGGAGGAUGCGAGCGUUAUCCGGAUUUAUUGGGUUUAAAGGGUGCGUAGGCGGGCAUUUAAGCCGGCGGUCAAAUGUCGGGGCUCAACCCCGGCCUGCCGGCGGAACGGGGUG
rnacentral:rRNA from 1 species